AAUCGCGGCCACCGCCAGGUGGAACGGCAGGUGGGUUCAGGUACCAGCCUGGCCGGGACCCGGCUGUGGGACCAACGCUUCCGGUGAGCGACAGAGGCAGCUCCCCAGGGCCUGGAGACGCGUGGGGCGGACUCUGGGAUCUGAGCCCAUCGCCCUGGCCUGGAGUCCCCCUUUGUACCUAUUCCCCAUUCCCCUACCGAGCUGGGCAGUUAGCCAGCCCACUCCAACUCUCGGAACCAUGUUUGCAGACUUGGAUUAUGACAUCGAAGAGGAUAAACUCGGAAUCCCGACUGUGCCUGGGAAGGUGACCCUGCAGAAGGAUGCUCAGAACCUGAUCGGGAUCAGCAUUGGAGGAGGGGCCCAGUACUGUCCCUGCCUCUAUAUCGUCCAGGUAUUUGACAACACCCCAGCAGCCUUGGACGGCACAGUGGCAGCUGGCGAUGAGAUCACCGGUGUCAAUGGCAGGUCAAUCAAAGGGAAAACUAAGGUGGAGGUGGCGAAGAUGAUUCAGGAGGUGAAGGUAAGGGCUGCUGCAGAGCAGGUGUCCAGAGGCAGCAACACAGGUUUCUGAGACCUCCAGGCUGCCAGAGGUCCCAGCAGGCCUGGAAGGGGGUAU
rnacentral:sRNA from 1 species